rnacentral:rRNA from 1 species
UACAGAGGUCCCAAGCGUUGUUCGGAUUCACUGGGCGUAAAGGGCGCGUAGGCGGCUCAUGAAGGCUGUGGUGAAAGUCCGGGGCUCAACCUCGGAUCGGCCGUGGUGACUCGUGGGCUGGAGCACUGUAGAGGCGGGUGGAAUUCCGGGUGUAGCGGUGGAAUGCGUAGAGAUCCGGAAGAACACCAGUGGCGAAGGCGGCCCGCUGGGCAGUGGCUGACGCUGAGGCGCGACAGCGUGGGGAGCAAACAGG